rnacentral:sRNA from 1 species
CUUCCAAAUCCGAUCAUGUCUUUUUUCUUUCAACUUCCUCUUUUCUUGUCU